GAAAUGUAAUGCCAAUUAAAAAGCUGCUAACUUUUAAAAUAGCGGUUUAACUCCGUUAACAUUUCU
rnacentral:tRNA from 1 species